AAUAGAUACCCGGGUAGUCCACGCCGUAAACGAUGAGUGCUAAGUGUUAGAGGGUUUCCGCCCUUUAGUGCUGAAGUUAACGCAUUAAGCACUCCGCCUGGGGAGUACGGCCGCAAGGCUGAAACUCAAAGGAAUUGACGGGGGCCCGCACAAGCGGUGGAGCAUGUGGUUUAAUUCGAAGCAACGCGAAGAAUCUUACCAGGUCUUGACAUCCUCUGAAACCCUAGAGAUAGGGCUUCUCCUUCGGGAGCAGAGUGACAGGUGGUGCAUGGUUGUCGUCAGCUCGUGUCGUGAGAUGUUGGGUUAAGUCCCGCAACGAGCGCAACCCUUGAUCUUAGUUGCCAUCAUUAAGUUGGGCACUCUAAGGUGACUGCCGGUGACAAACCGGAGGAAGGUGGGGAUGACGUCAAAUCAUCAUGCCCCUUAUGACCUGGGCUACACACGUGCUACAAUGGGCGGUACAAAGAGCUGCAAGACCGCGAGGUGGAGCUAAUCUCAUAAAACCGUUCUCAGUUCGGAUUGUAGG
rnacentral:rRNA from 1 species